rnacentral:rRNA from 1 species
GACGAACGCUGGCGGCGUGCUUAACACAUGCAAGUCGAACGGAAAGGCCCUGCUUUUGUGGGGUGCUCGAGUGGCGAACGGGUGAGUAACACGUGAGUAACCUGCCCUUGACUUUGGGAUAACUUCAGGAAACUGGGGCUAAUACCGGAUAGGAGCUCCUGCUGCAUGGUGGGGGUUGGAAAGUUUCGGCGGUUGGGGAUGGACUCGCGGCUUAUCAGCUUGUUGGUGGGGUAGUGGCUUACCAAGGCUUUGACGGGUAGCCGGCCUGAGAGGGUGACCGGCCACAUUGGGACUGAGAUACGGCCCAGACUCCUACGGGAGGCAGCAGUGGGGAAUAUUGCACAAUGGGCGGAAGCCUGAUGCAGCAACGCCGCGUGCGGGAUGACGGCCUUCGGGUUGUAAACCGCUUUCGCCUGUGACGAAGCGUGAGUGACGGUAAUGGGUAAAGAAGCACCGGCUAACUACGUGCCAGCAGCCGCGGUGAUACGUAGGGUGCGAGCGUUGUCCGGAUUUAUUGGGCGUAAAGGGCUCGUAGGUGGUUGAUCGCGUCGGAAGUGUAAUCUUGGGGCUUAACCCUGAGCGUGCUUUCGAUACGGGUUGACUUGAGGAAGGUAGGGGAGAAUGGAAUUCCUGGUGGAGCGGUGGAAUGCGCAGAUAUCAGGAGGAACACCAGUGGCGAAGGCGGUUCUCUGGGCCUUUCCUGACGCUGAGGAGCGAAAGCGUGGGGAGCGAACAGGCUUAGAUACCCUGGUAGUCCACGCUGUAAACGGUGGGUACUAGGUGUGGGGUCCAUUCCACGGGUUCCGUGCCGUAGCUAACGCUUUAAGUACCCCGCCUGGGGAGUACGGCCGCAAGGCUAAAACUCGAAGGAAUUGACGGGGCCCCGCACAAGCGGCGGAGCAUGCGGAUUAAUUCGAUGCAACGCGUAGACCCUUACCUGGGUUUGACAUGGAUCGGGAGCGCUCAGAGAUGGGUGUGCCUCUUUUGGGGUCGGUUCACAGGUGGUGCAUGGCUGUCGUCAGCUCGUGUCGUGAGAUGUUGGGUUAAGUCCCGCAACGAGCGCAACCCUUGUUCACUGUUGCCAGCACGUUAUGGUGGGGACUCAGUGGAGACCGCCGGGGUCAACUCGGAGGAAGGUGGGGAUGACGUCAAGUCAUCAUGCCCCUUAUGUCCAGGGCUUCACGCAUGCUACAAUGGCUGGUACAGAGAGUGGCGAGCCUGUGAGGGUGAGCGAAUCUCGGAAAGCCGGUCUCAGUUCGGAUUGGGGUCUGCAACUCGACCUCAUGAAGUCGGAGUCGCUAGUAAUCGCAGAUCAGCAACGCUGCGGUGAAUACGUUCCCGGGGCU